UCUUUUACUACGAUUAUCCCUUUGGAAGUAUUUUGACUUCUAAAAUAAAUUUUUCAUUAAGUUCAAAAAACGAAUAUUGAUUGAAACAGGCAUAGAAACAGGGAAAACUUUUUGGAUACUAACAAGUCUGGAUAUAAUAUAGACUUACCUUAUCAGAAGAGUAUGUAUACCUUGUACACUAUUUGGAACAAAUAUAAUGCUCUUGCUCGUCAAUUAUAUUGGGGAGGGAAAAAUUUGAUCUACAUGAAACUACAUACUUCUACCUGAUAACUCUUGAUGGUAGCUACCGUAAUGUAGUGAACAGCAGAAAGUAAAGGGCUCAACUCCGAAGAAGAAGGCUGGGGAACGGCAUCACAUCCAAGAAAGACAGCAGGUGCCCAAAUUGUCCCCUUUCAGCACAAGAAGAUAGUGAAGAAAAAUAACGAGACCGUUUCCUUUGAGGGCCGUGCUCAGAUUAGGUAUAAUUUAAACUCGUUAACGAGGAUUUAUGAGUGAGUUUGAUGCCAGCAGUCGUGGAAAUUUCAACUCAUA
rnacentral:ncRNA from 1 species